GAGUGGUUUGGGUCAUCAUGCCGCAGAGUCAGAACUGCGAGGUUCCUGGAGACGUUGUAAAGCACCUUCCUCAGGGACCCUGAGAUUCUGCAGCCCUCUGCAUCUAAGACAGGCCUGUCUUAGACUGGAUGCUCUUGAAUUUUUUCUCUCCUAUGGAUCCAAACUAUGGCUGUACAUUUGAAAUUGGAUCAGAACAAGAAAUAAAUCCAUCUCUCUGACAGAGAGGAAAAUGCUGCCCUACCUGUGGGCUCCUGGGUUUCAGUGUGACACAGAACUAAAUUUUCUAGAAACUGCAGUUACUGAUCAGAGUCGAUGUGCUCACCUGGUUCCCAUCACCUUGAAGCUGGUCUUAUCAGAGGGUUUCGUUCCUCAGAAAGAAGUCUUCCAAAACCACUGUGGACUCCAUGCUGGCGUAACAGGAAGCACAGCGUAGGGCAGGGUCUCAGCUGGGAGUUUUUGUGAUAAAGCAAGACUUUCUCUUCCUCUUUCCCUCUUUCUCCCCUAGAGAAACCCUUUUAGUUCUUCCCUUGAUAAUGUUUUUAUUCUCUGAUAGGUGCUCACAACAACUUUAAACCAAGCAGAAUCGCCGAGCCAGCAAAAUGCAGACACCUCAGUUUGUGAUCAGAAAGGGGAGAGAGGAGAAAACAGGGCAUUUAGAGCAUCAGUUUCCUCAGAACGUGGAAUGCUUAAAGUGCUGACAGAAAUAGUGGGAUUUAUGGCCUUUCCUCAUAGGAGAGCAGUGUGUGUGUGUGUGUGUGUGUAUGAGUGUGUACACGUGUGCAUGCAUGCAUGAGCAUGUAUGUGUACAUGCCUGUGUGUGUACAUGUGUGCAUGCAUGUAUGAGCAUGCAUGUGUACGUCCCUGUGUGUAUGUGUACACACAUAUGCAUGCAUGCAUGAGCAUGUAUGUGUACAUGCCUCUGUGUGUGUGUAUGUGUGUCUGUGUCUGUGUAUGUGUACAUGCCUCUGUGUGUGUGUGUGUGUGUGUGUGUGUCUGGUGUGUCUGUGCGUGUGCGCACCUGCACUCCUGCACUCCUGCACUCCUGCCUGCUGGUGACUCGGCACUUGCUGAGAGGGUUGACAGGAGCCUAGUUACCCUUUUCCCUCAGUUGCUCAUCAGGUGCUAAUUAGGGUAAAUUGUUUGUUUGCUUCACUCUAACAUCUGCUCCCUGGGAGCUGGACACAGGUAAGUGCUAAUUUUGUAGGCAGGCCAGGGAAGUCAGGGUGGGGCUGAGGCUUUGCGAGGGGUCGUGAUUCUCAGGCCUUGUCACAGUACAUCAGAAUGAAAACCAAUCGUUCAUGUGUGAAAUAAAAAUCGGUGAACCCCCAUAUGGCUGUGACCGCUCACCUCCAGGUACAGAAGCUUCCUGUGCUAAGCGUGCAGACCACUGCAGCAGCCAGAGCUCCCUUCAGCAACUUUUGUAGAGGAAGACGUUGAGGAAACACCACACAGAUUUAAUUCCCCUGCCCCUUGGGAAUGUGGGUAACACUUGUGCCACACGCUAUUCCGAGUCCAUUCCUCAACUCAGCGACUGGGGAUUAGUGUGUGAAAUGUCCCCCAGGGUUUGAGUGUGAAAGGUCCCCACAGGAGCAGCCGUUGGUCUUCAGAUGGUGCUGUGGAUGUGCCUGCAUGGCCAGAGCCAAGGAGCAGCCACAGUCACAGCCAGUCCCCAGUUCCACCUAAAGCCCUCUGCUUCCUGGCAGCCUCCAAGAUGUAACCAGCUGGCUCGCUGGCACUGCCUUCCCCACAGCACCAAUGUUCCUGGCCAUUCAUCAGUGUGGAGGGUGUGGAAUCAUAGAGACCGAAGAUCCCCUGUGGGUCUCUCAGUCAGGAACUGUGAGAAACCCCCCGCCUAAUUAACCAUGUAUCCCAACCAUGAAACUUCAUGCUCAUAUUUAUAUCUCCUAUGGAGAGGAAAGAUGGAUACUUAGUGUGGAAUAUUUUUUAAAAAGCUUUUCUCAUUUAUUCUGUGAGUGUUGGACGGAGGGCCAGAAUGUGCUGUGGUACAAUUGUGGAAUUGUUGUAGGACAACUUCCAGGAGUAAGUUACCUACAUUCAUCAUGUAGGGUUCAGGAACCAAACUCGGGCCUUAAGGCUUUGUGGCAAGUGCCUUUACCUACUGAGCCAUCCUGCCAGCCCUGCUGUGAUUUUUAAAGCAUUCACCACCAUCUGAAAAACAAGGUUUGCCUUCACUUUCCAGGCAAACAGAGUGGCAUGAGCUGUGUGCGGACACCAUCUCCAGCCACUCAGUGUGUGACUGGGCAGACUCCGUGUGGGGGACAGAUGACCGUCACUCACAGGAGACACACUCAGCAGUUAAGAGCACCCACUACCCUUCCAGAGAACUUAAGUUUUGGUUCUCAACAACUCACAUCCACCUUUAACAGCAGCUCUAACGGAUCGGAUGCCCUCUUCUGGGAUCUGUGGGCACUGCUCUUACACACGCACACUCACACACACUCUGUGUGUGUGUGUAUAAAUAUCAUAUAGAGAUAUGCAAACACACACACAAAGAUAAUGAAAAGAUCAGAUCCUCAUUUUCUGUGGUACCAUCAAGCUGGGUUUGUUCAUAGCACCCUAGGUAUGAUCUCCAGGCAACACCCCCAACAGCCAUAGUGAGGUUCCCAUGGCUCACUCAGCGUUUUGUCCUAACUAUAAUGGGGCUAGCUGGCUGUGUUGAUAUUCUCAGUUUAUAACGGAGAAUGGGAAUCUGGACUCCUUCCCAUUUUUCCCUAUUGGAUCCUGUUGUCUUUCAGUUGCCAGGGAAUACUCAGGCGUUUGGACAGUGGGACAGUUAUUUACAGCUUUAAUUUUCUUUGUGGUGUCAUUAGUUACUUGCCCUCUAGGGGACACGAGUUUACUUUUAAUCACAGCAGGGAAAGCAGAAGGAGCAAGUGCGUACCGCCAUUGCUAUUCAUGGUGCAUUGCCAGCUCAGCCUCGCAAAAUACCGCUAUGUGCUGUAGAUGUUUGUGGGGUAUCAGGAAAGGAAAUGGAGGAUUGAAACUAUCUUAACAGGUCAGGCUUGGUGGUGUACUUGGAAGCAGAGGCAGGAGGAUCUCUGUGAGCUUGAGGUCAACCAGGUCUACAGAGUGAGACCCUGUUUCAAAAGCAAAACGAGACACAUAAACUAAAACCAAAGCUAGGCAGAGCAGAGGUGUCUCCCAGCAGGACAGUACUCAACUAGCAUGUGAGAAGGUCCAAGUUAGAUCCUUAGCGUUACAAAAAGAACCCUAAACAAUGAAAUACAUAGACAAUACUUGGUAAGGGAAAUCCAAUUUCUCAAGUUGAAUUGUAUCGAACAAUCUGUUGUAAUUACUAAGAGAAUGAGCUUGUUAACAAAUGAAUUGCCUGUAAAAUGUUGUAAAAGAAGGGGCCAGCAAGAUGGCUCUGCAGGUAAAGGAGCUUGCUGCUAAGGCCUGAGGUCCGGAGUUCCAUCCCCAGGACACACAAGGUAAAAGAGAACGCUUAGUUCGACAAGUUGCCCUUUCACACACACACACACACACACACACACACACACACACACACACACACACACACACACACACACACACACCGUAAAAGAUAGCAUAUUUAACCAUAUUUUUGAAGUCUGGCCGAAUCUUUUUUUUUUUUGUAAGUGAGUUAAUUAUCUUUUAAACAGCUCCCAAAGGCAGGAAAGAAAUUUGAAAUGACUUGAAAGCUCCCAGCAUGCUUCACUCUUGAUGUCACAGGCAGGCUGGGAUGGACUUUGUGACACCUUCAGCUUUGGCACCCAGUGACUUCUUUUACAAACAGGCUGAGCUCAAGCCUAACACGGCCUUUGUUCCUGCCCUCUUCUUCAGCCGCACAUAUGAUCGCCUGGUUUCUAUUUGUGAGUCUAAGAGUGUGAGGAAGCGGAAGUGCACCAGGCUGUGCUGCUCAGUCCCAGGACACCUCACUAGAAAGAUGUCAUGGUUUCCCCUAAGGGCCAUCUUGACUGUCGAGUGAGUGUGGCUUUUCCGGGGAAGCCUGUUUCUGUCCCCUCCAUUCUGCAACAGGCAAUGGCAUACCAGAGGGACACUAGUCUGUCUUGCUUGGUGAGUGAGCCAUUUUGGGUUAUUCACUGUCAAUCUCUGGAGGUAAGUAAUGGUGUAACUAGUAACAUUUGGGGGCCCAUAGGACCAUACUGAACAACUUCUUCAUUCUUAUUUUUGCCUUAUUCCUUUAAGCAUUUCCAAAUAUAUUCAUUAUUUUUGGAUAUGGUUUCUAGUCCAGGGUAGCCUCAAGUUUCUUAUGAAGCUGAGAAUGACUUGGACUGGAUCUUUCUGUCUCUACCUCCUGAGUUCCAGGAUUGUAGGUGUGCACAUUUGGUUUCUGUGGUGGUGACCAUGUGUGCUGGAGAAGCACUCUACUAACCAAAUUAUAUCCUAACUGUUCCAGAUAUUCUCUGCUAUUCUUACACAAUAGGUAGGAUGGACAUAUAUGCUAAACUCAUCCUUUUCUAGUGAAACAUGAGGUCUUAUGGAAAAGUAGUACAAAACACAAGUAUUCACGAAGUAAAGACACCCUGGGUUUUCUUUAUAUUAAAAUCAUUUUUAAGAUUUAAUGAUUUUGUAUGUAUAUGUAUUUUGCCUACAUACAUAGCUAUGCACUAUGUACAGACCUGGUAUCUGAGGAUGUCAGAAGAAGGCAUGAAAUCCUCCCUAUCCCCCGAAAAAGGGGCAAUGGGCGACUGAGUCACAUGUGUGUACUGGGAAUUGAGCCUGGUCCUCUGCAAGAGCAACAGGUGCUCUCAACCACUGAGCUGCCUCUCUUCCCCUAAGGUGCCCUUUUAAACGAUUAUUUUAUGUGCAUCAUGUACGUGCACAAAGUGGGUGCUGGAUCACCUGGGAUUGGAGUAACGGAAGGUCAUGAGCUGCCAUGUGAGUGCUGGGAAUCGAACCUUGGCCCUUUAUAAGAUCAAGUGCUCUUAACUGCCUGGGCAACUCUCCAACUUCCUAAAUGUACUUGUAAUGGAGAUUGGCCUAAGAUUGUUAGCUAAAUUAAGGAAGAUAACAAUAAUUACAUUCUGAAGUGACAUUUGUUUUGCCUCUGAAUUUGUGCUUUUGUUGAUGCCAAAACCACUGUCAUGUGGGGAGGAUAAAGAACUCAUAUUGAUUUAUAACUGAUGAAAGAGGCAACAGAGUAAAGACUUCUGAAGGAACCCUCCUCAGCAGAGGGAGCUUGAGUAAAGCGACCUCUUGUAGCAGCAUCAGGAAAGGUUAACUUUUCUUGUCUGUGGAAUGGAAGCCUCAUUUUAAAUCUUUUUAAAACGUCUAGAGGUUUUUAAUCAUAGGUAGGUAUGUGUAUCUGUGUGGGAUGUGUGCCAAGGAGGCUAGAAGUCCUCAGAGCCUCAGGUGGCUGGCUGGUAAGCGGUCUUGUGGAAUAUCACCGUUCAGUGGCUCAAGUCAUGUUCCGAGUCCGGGAACCUCUUCUACGGCAGAGAGUGGUAACAGUUUGAAUUUCUGCAAGUUCACUAUGAAAUGUGCCCUCACUGCAAGAACUAAUAAAUCUGUCCUCACUGUUUCUAGUUUUAUUCAAACAAAACAAAAACCCAUCACUCAGUAGCAAACAGGCAAAUUACAUUAUCCUAAUGCCCCAUAAGUGGCUCCUGCACAUUAAACCAUUAAUUAUUCCUGCUAAUUAUCUCUAUUCCACUGUUGACAUCAUUCUUAUUAAGAAAGUCAGUCUCCUGGAAAGUCACGUUUCCUAACCCAUGAAUACUUACUGGGAUUCUUCUUCAUGUAUGUCUCUGUAGCUACACGGACCUCCACACCUAUUUGUAAGACUGCCAUUUGGGGCAUUAACAGGGAGGGAGCUGCUAUAGGAGCCCCAACAGGACUCAGCCCUGAGCCCCUGGUUAUUGCGACAGCCGGGAGCUGUUCCUUCCCAUGUUUCCUCAGGUGUGACCAUCUGUGAUGCUUUUACACAGACUUCCUUCAGGACUAGUCAGUCUCUGCAUCGGCCCGUUGCUUUGUUGUGUUCUGUUCGUUCCACCCAUCCUCGUCUCCACACAUGCAGUAUGGGUAUGCGCAAUUUACCACAUUCUAGAAGGGUAAGUCAGCCACUAACUCUCAACGCAGCUCUUCCUGUGAUGGCCCCAUUUCUGUUCUUACAGCUUCUUAGACUUCCUAAGACAGAGGCUGCCCUCCGUUAUAAAUCAUUUGGUUUUGAACUCCAUUCCCAUAUGAUUUUUCCCCACAACUCACUAUUCUCAGGAAUUUCAUUAUGCAGGAUAUAACAGCAUUCAUUCAUUCAUUCAUUCAUUCAUUCAUUCAUUCAUUCAUAGGAAACUGGCCACAGCAUGCACCACAGAAGCACCGCUGUAAGCCAUCUCUUUACAACCACCCCUGUCUUAUUUUCUCACCUAUAUCUCAUUAACCAUGUAAGAUUUCUAGUCAUCAAAAUUAUCAGUUAUUUGGAACUCAGGAAAAAAGGUUAAGGAUAGUCAGUUAAAAUAGAUACCAAGGUUAAAAAAAGUGUGGGAAAGGGUGGGGGUCAAGCCCCAUGAACCCAGAGAGCAGUACACCUGGGGGCAGGGGACUCCUCUCUCUUUGGAUGACGUGGCUAGGGUAGCCCUGUGGUCUCAACUCAGCAGGCAUGGCUCCGUGGGAUGAAGGGCCCUGGGUAAGGGUGCUGUGGGUUAGAGAAAAGAGAGUGGAUGCUGACUGGAUAUCCACUCAGUACAUCUGGUCCUUAAAGAGCUCUCUGCUGAGUAGAGAGGAAAUGUCGGUUCAUUCUGGGCAAUACAUUCAAAGUGCUGCUGCUUACCCAGGAGGCAGAAUACACCCGAGUGUGCGCAGAGGUGGGCACAGCUGGGCCUUCACUGAAACAGAAAGGCCAGAGGUGGAAAACUGCAUUGCGUGUGUGUGCGUGAGCGUGCGCAUGUGCACGCGCAAUUCUGAGCAGGCCAGAGGGAGUGAAGGCUGAGGACUUGGAGGGAGAUGGGAAAGCCCAGAUGACCCAUGAUGUGAGGAAAGAGGAUCCACAGAGCUGGGGUUUAUCACAAGUGUCAGGUUUACAUGGGAAGUGGUUCAGUAAUCCAGCACUUUAAUGUAGCAGGAUCUUGAGUUUUAAGGGCAGCCUGGGCUAUAAAUCAAAACCAAAACAAACAAAAAAGAUGGCUCUUUGGGUAAAGACACUGACAAUCCUGAUGGCCUCAUUUGACCACUGGGACCCACAUGGUACAAGGGGAGAAUCACUUCCUGCAAGUUGACCUCUGACCUCCACACAGGUUGUGUCCUAUAAACAUGACCCCAGGGAAAUGAGAAUGGAAUUCAAGAAGUAUUUUAAAAGAUGAAAAAACCCAGGAAGGUUUAAAUUAUAGACUGUCAGGGCACACUUCUGGCUGUGAAAUAUUAGGUAGCUGGUGGGAAGGUAGAGAUCUGGGUAAGUAGGUUAACAAACCCAGGAAACCAUAAGCCAACAGAUGACGAGAGAUGAGGAAGAGAGUAAGCUGGAGGCUGGGGCUCCAAUUCCGCUUACUCCCGUUUUCUGGCCCUGAGGCCCCAAUCGCUCUGGGGCUAUUGCUGCUCCCAGCAGGCUGGCUUUUGUGUCCAGGCUACGUUCAUGCCCAUUCCUGAUCAAUGUAUACACAACGGUCAUGCUGCAUCAUGGCAGCUAGCACUGCUGGUAUCCUCGGCCAGUGGACACCAGGGAUCUCUCCUCUUCGAGUUUAGAUGUUCCCAGGUUGUCUCAGCUGGCAGCCUAUGUCUGACAGGCUGCUUUGGGGAGGUCACCCAUUUCUCUUCUUCCUCUUACUGGGCCCCUAACUCCCUCAGAUCUGGCCACUUUGUGCCUAGCCUGUCUUACGUAGUUCCGACUUGGAGAACUGGGUGCCCAAUACAUCUGCCCCUCACUCCAAGGCUUCUUUUGUGGUUUGUGCUGAGGUAUGGCCCUGGGCAGCCUUGACUGAAAGGCCAUCCAAGAAAACUGCUCUUGCAUAAAGGAGUCACCAGUACAAGCACUCAACACCCAAUCCCAUUCCAGGAGUCCAUCUAGCUAGAAGCUCUCAGUGCAACCCGAGGCCAUGUGUGGCUCUGGGAUACCUCAGCAGCAGCACAACAAGCAGAGGAAGAAAACUAACAAUGUCAGUGGAAAGGAAGUGUCAGAGGCUGCACUUCUACAGUCCCAGGACACACACCACAGGCCCAGAGGGACCCCUCCCCAGCAGCCCAGCACAGGGUGAAAAGCCAUUUCUGUGCCAGUCAAGCAGAACUGUACAAAUACAGCUCCUUAUCCCAAUGUCCUCAGUUAGAACUUAAAGCUGGACCUACAGACAUGUUAAUCAUUUCUGAGGAAAAAUGCUUUCCUCAGGGAAACUUACUUGGAAAAGCAUGUAUCUUGAAAGGAACUUUGUUAGACAGCACAGCAUGUGGAGAGGAAAAUGCUUCCAUUUAAAAACUUUAAUAAGUAAACAUAGCCUUUAGUGACAAUGGUGGGGAAGGCGGAAAUGGAUGGCUGCCAGCCAGAUCCAUGUACUCAGUAUUCCUCCCCUUCUUCUGCCUCUGCUUCCACGGAAUCCACGCCCACCUCUUCAUAAUCCUUCUCCAGAGCUGCCAGGUCCUCCCGGGCCUCUGAGAACUCCCCUUCCUCCAUGCCCUCUCCCACGUACCAAUGCACGAAGGCCCGCUUGGCGUACAUGAGGUCAAAUUUGUGGUCCAGGCGGGCCCAGGCCUCUGCGAUGGCAGUGGUGUUGCUCAGCAUGCACACGGCCCGCUGCACCUUGGCCAGGUCGCCCCCAGGGACCACGGUGGGAGGCUGGUAGUUA